UACGGGGGGAGCAAGCGUUGUUCGGAUUUACUGGGCGUAAAGGGCGCGUAGGCGGCCAGCACAAGUCAGUUGUGAAAUCUCCGGGCUUAACCCGGAAAGGUCAGCCGAUACUGCGGGGCUAGAGUGCAGAAGGGGCAACAGGAAUUCUCGGUGUAGCGGUGAAAUGCGUAGAUAUCGAGAGGAACACCUGCGGCGAAGGCGGGUUGCUGGGCUGACACUGACGCUGAGGCGCGAAAGCUAGGGGAGCGAACGGG
rnacentral:rRNA from 1 species